UUUUUGUAAACUGCUUGAGUCGAUUAGACGUGUAUUUCAUUUGCUGCUCACGUUUCGUGUCGAUCUGACUUAAAAUUUUGCAAAAAUGCGUUACGUAGCUGCAUACCUGCUGGCUGUCCUGGGAGGCAACGCCGCCCCAUCCAACUCGGACAUCGAGAAGAUCCUCAGUUCGGUCGGUAUUGAGGCCGAUUCGACCCGCGUCACCAAGGUGGUGAACGAGCUGAAGGGCAAGUCGAUCGAGGAAUUGAUUGCUUCCGGACGCGAGAAGCUGUCCUCGAUGCCGGCUGGUGGUGGCGCGGCUGCUGCUGCUCCUGCUGCCGCUGGUGGUGCCGGUGCUGCUGCUGCCCCGGCUGCCGAGAAGAAGGAGGAGAAGAAGGAAGAAUCGGAAUCCGAGGACGACGACUUGGGCUUCGGUCUUUUCGAGUAAAAGUUUAUUACUGCGUCACAUUCAAUGCUGUUAUGCUAUAUCAUGGAGAUAUAGGGCUACAAACAAAUCCAACAAUUAUGCAUCAUUAUUACAGUGCGUGUAGUGGUGGUGUGUGGACUGGGUAUUGUGUACAAAAAGGCGUGACAUAGGAAUAAACUUUCAUUUCGAAAACUAGCUGCUCUUCUUUUCCAUUGUUCAAUUCACUUUCCAAAAAAUCGUAAAUUAGUUUCAAGCAUUUCUUUCCGGCGAUAAUUUAGCUUUCCACGCACCAACACGAAGAGGACGGCAUCUUGGCAACUUGAAACUUCCCAUCCCGAUGAAACAAGCAUUCGAGGCCGUUAUAGGUACAGUUGACGGAAACACCGCCGGAUGUUUCCAGCAAAAGUUUGCCUGUGUCCCCGAUUCUCGUGAGCUGUGGCUGUGGUCUUAGGUAUGUAUCAGGCACACUAUCCUCCGGGAAAAAGAAAGCAAAGAAUGUGAAAUAAACUACCCAUAACAAACUUUUAUUCAAACA